rnacentral:rRNA from 1 species
UACGUAGGGUGCAAGCGUUGUCCGGAAUUAUUGGGCGUAAAGAGCGUGUAGGCGGUUCGAUAAGUCUGCUGUGAAAGUCCAGGGCUCAACCCUGGGAUGCCGGUGGAUACUGUCGGGCUAGAGUGCGGAAGAGGCGAGUGGAAUUCCUGGUGUAGCGGUGAAAUGCGCAGAUAUCAGGAGGAACACCAAUUGCGAAGGCAGCUCGCUGGGACGUUACUGACGCUGAGGCACGAAAGCGUGGGGAGCAAACAGG